UUGGCAUAUAUGUAUAUCUGUUUAAUAAUUUUAGCUAAAUUUAUGCUUUAUUAAGCAUUCAGCUCUUUUCAUUUUAUAAUCAAUUUACACUCUCAUUUCUCAAUACAAGCAAUAAAGUUUCAUUAGCAUCCUGAGAUCUCAUAAUUAUCAAUAAUUACUAUUUAUUAAGUAUAGUAUACACUACCUUGUUGGCAGACACAAACUAUUUUGAGACAAUUUUUUUAGGGUGGAGAACACUUGGAAAUAAUGUUUUGCCAAUAAAUCUAUGGAGGAUUCAUCACAAUGGAAGAAAUUAAUUGGAAGAUUCAGAGGAAGACUCAGUUCUUUAUCUGGAUGGAAUACGGUAGCAAAGGAAAUUUUUCAUGUUAGUAAUUGAUACAGAGCCUUUGCUUUUAAAUGUUGUGUUAUUGUGGAUUAUGC
rnacentral:lncRNA from 10 species